rnacentral:rRNA from 1 species
CCUACGGGUGGCAGCAGUGAGGAAUAUUGGUCAAUGGGCGCGAGCCUGAUCCAGCCAAGCAGCGUGAAGGAUGACUGCCCUACGGGUUGUAAACUCCUUUUAUAAAGGAAUAAAGUGAGGCACGUGUGCCUUUUUGUAUGUACUUUAUGAAUAAGGAUCGGCUAACUCCGUGCCAGCAGCCGCGGGAAUACGGAGGAUCCGAGCGUUAUCCGGAUUUAUUGGGUUUAAAGGGAGCGUAGGUGGGUUGUUAAGUCAGUUGUGAAAGUUUGCGGCUCAACCGGAGAAUUGCAAUUGAUACUGGCAGGCUUGAGUACAGUAGAGGUAGGCGGAAUUCGUGGUGUAGCGGUGAAAUGCGUAGAUAUCACGAGGAACUCCGAUGGCGAAGGCAGCUUACUAAACUGCCACUGACAUUGAUGCUCGAAAGUGUGGGUAGCAAACAGGAUUAGAUACCCUUGUAGUC